AUUGAACGCUGGCGGCAGGCCUAACACAUGCAAGUCGAGCGGAUGAAGGGAGCUUGCUCCUGGAUUCAGCGGCGGACGGGUGAGUAAUGCCUAGGAAUCUGCCUGGUAGUGGGGGAUAACGUCCGGAAGCGGGCGCUAAUACCGCAUACGUCCUGAGGGAGAAAGUGGGGGAUCUUCGGACCUCACGCUAUCAGAUGAGCCUAGGUCGGAUUAGCUAGUUGGUGGGGUAAAGGCCUACCAAGGCGACGAUCCGUAACUGGUCUGAGAGGAUGAUCAGUCACACUGGAACUGAGACACGGUCCAGACUCCUACGGGAGGCAGCAGUGGGGAAUAUUGGACAAUGGGCGAAAGCCUGAUCCAGCCAUGCCGCGUGUGUGAGGAAGGUCUUCGGAUUGUAAAGCACUUUAAGUUGGGAGGAAGGGCAGUAAGUUAAUACCUUGCUGUUUUGACGUUACCAACAGAAUAAGCACCGGCUAACUUCGUG
rnacentral:rRNA from 1 species